rnacentral:rRNA from 1 species
GACGAACGCUGGCGGCGUGCUUAACACAUGCAAGUCGAACGGAAAGGCCCUGCUCUUGCGGGGUGCUCGAGUGGCGAACGGGGGAGUAAAACGCGAGUAAAACGCACUUGAAUUUGGGAUAAAUUCAGGAAACAGGGGCUAAUACCCGAGAGGAGCUCCUGAUGCAUGGGGGGGGAUGGAAAGAUUCGGCGGUGUGGGAUGGACUCGCGGCUUAUCCGCUUGUUGGUGGGGUAGGGGAUUACCACGGCUUUGACGGGUAGCCCACCUGAGAGGUUGACCGGCCUCAUUGGUACUGAGAGACGGCCCAGUCUCCUACGGUACGCAGCAGGCGAGAAUAUGGCGGAAUGGGCGGACGCCUGAUGUGGCGACUCCGCGUGCGGGAUGCCGGCCUACGGGUUGUAAACCGCUUUCGCCUGUGACGAAGCGUGAGUGACGGUAAUUGGUAAAGAAGCACCGGCUAACUACGUG